GACAAUGGUCAUGGAACUGAACAGAUGAGCCUCUGAUUCCUGUUCUGCCACUGAUAAACCCUAUGGUCUUUGUCAUUUACUCCCCUUCCUGGGCCUCCCUAGGGAGUAAUGAGGCUAGAAGAAAUGAUACCUGGGAAGGUGGUACAGUUGAAGAAAGAGCUCAACUCUGGCAAAGGGAGACCAAGAGUAACCUCUGGUGUGGAAGUUGGCUGAGCACUCAGUGCCUGACUGUGCUAUACUCCUGUUGGACAUGAGCUGUCUCUCAGAACACCAAUUCAGACAAGGUUACUCCAAGACUAUGAUACAAUAAAGCAAAGCAAGGAUACUUCGUAAUUUUGUGGAAGCACAGACAAAAUCAAUAUCAGUAUGCCACCUACAAAAGACCAAACAGCCCUUCUCUUGGCCAAAAUGAGUGAUGUCUACUUCUUUACUAAUGAAGUUUUAUUUUUGUUCUAGUCAGCUCUCCAUCCAGAUGAGAUUUUUUGAGAUACCCAAUCUUAUAAUUGCCUCCAGCUUUCUGACAGCAUCUAAUUUUGGCAAACUCUCCCCUCCUUCUGUCCUCUCCCAAAUGACCUAACCUAAACCCCAAAUCUACAGAAAGUUAUUUCUAUUACCAUCUUACUGAGACACCCCAUGAUUCCUCAUGAUAUGUGUUAUUUGUCUGUGCAACAGGUAAUAAAUUGAACUUGUUCACU
rnacentral:lncRNA from 1 species